CCCAGUGUGGUGCAGUGGUUUGAGCGUUGGACUAUAACUCUGAAGACCGGGGUUCGAUUCCUAGCUCUGCUA